ACGCUGGCGGCAGGCCUAACACAUGCAAGUCGAGCGGCAGCGGGAAAGUAGCUUGCUACUUUUGCCGGCGAGCGGCGGACGGGUGAGUAAUGCCUGGGGAUCUGCCCAGUCGAGGGGGAUAACUACUGGAAACGGUAGCUAAUACCGCAUACGCCCUACGGGGGAAAGCAGGGGACCUUCGGGCCUUGCGCGAUUGGAUGAACCCAGGUGGGAUUAGCUAGUUGGUGAGGUAAUGGCUCACCAAGGCGACGAUCCCUAGCUGGUCUGAGAGGAUGAUCAGCCACACUGGAACUGAGACACGGUCCAGACUCCUACGGGAGGCAGCAGUGGGGAAUAUUGCACAAUGGGGGAAACCCUGAUGCAGCCAUGCCGCGUGUGUGAAGAAGGCCUUCGGGUUGUAAAGCACUUUCAGCGAGGAGGAAAGGUUGGUAGCUAAUAACUGCCAGCUGUGACGUUACUCGCAGAAGAAGCACCGGCUAACUCCG
rnacentral:rRNA from 1 species